AAAUCUAUAAUGAUGUCAAGAAAGAAUACUUAAAAAUCUUUAAAGAUUCUGAAAUGUUAUGUAUGAUUAUUUACUUUUAAUUUCCCCCCAUAUUUUGGAAUCAGAGAACCAAAAAAUAUUAAAGGGGAUAAUGAGUAAUUCGAUCCUUAUAGUGACAUACUAUGUAUAAAUUAAUUUUGUUAAAGAAUUUGAGGAUAAUUUUGGUUUUUCCAUAUCUAAAAAUAUCUGAGUUACAAAAAAGCAGAGAAAUGUAAAACUAAGAAUGGCAAAUUAAUUAUCAGGACCCUUUUUAAAUGUGGCCUCAAAAGAUAUAUUUCAGACAAAUAUUUUUGAAACAUAUUUUGAUUGAAAUUAUUUUGAGUCCUUACCUCAGUUUUUCCCUACUUGCUUACUAUUUGUACGUUGCAAAGAGAACACUAAGAAUUUUGUUAAAUAGUCUAAAUAUAUUUAAGAAACAAUCAUUAUGGAUAUUGAAUCUUAAGAUAUACCCUUUAAAUAUUGGGUUUUUAAGUAAAACACUUAACCCAGGAAAAAGAUUCCUUAGUUGAUAUUGAUAAAAAUUGUUGUAUCUUAGUGUGUGGUUGGUGUGUCAGUGAUUGGGUUAAGAGAAGAUUCAGGUUCAUGAGUUAGUAUAAAGAGGAUCGAUUUUUCAAUACAUGGUCUUAAACCUUAAUUUCAGUUAACUGAAAGUUAUGAUAAUGUUAGUAACCCCAUUGAACAUUCUUUGAUACUAAUCUAAAGUGAAAAUACACAUUUUG
rnacentral:lncRNA from 1 species